GCCCCAUUAGCAUAUUGGCAGAUGCACCGCUCUUGUAAAGCGGAUACAGGAGUUCGAUUCUCCUAUGGGGCUC
rnacentral:tRNA from 1 species